rnacentral:rRNA from 1 species
UACGUAGGUGGCAAGCGUUGUCCGGAUUUACUGGGCGUAAAGAGCGCGCAGGCGGUCGGAUAAGUCGAAUGUGAAAGCCCCCGGCUCAACUGGGGAGGGUCAUUCGAUACUGUUCGACUCGAAGGCAGGAGAGGGAAGUGGAAUUCCCGGUGUAGUGGUGAAAUGCGUAGAUAUCUGGAGGAACACCGGUGGCGAAGGCGACAUCCUGGACCGGUAUUGACGCUGAGGAGCGAAAGCCAGGGGAGCAAACGGG